rnacentral:rRNA from 1 species
UAGAGUUUGAUCCUGGCUCAGGAUGAACGCUGGCGGUCUGCUUAACACAUGCAAGUCGAACGCAACCUUCGGGUUGAGUGGCGGACGGGUGAGUAACGCGUGAGAAUCUGCCUUGGGGUCGGGGACAACCACUGGAAACGGUGGCUAAUACCGGAUAAGCCUUUGGGUAAAAGAUUUAUUGCCCCAAGAGGAGCUCGCGUCUGAUUAGCUAGUUGGUGAGGUAAGAGCUCACCAAGGCAGCGAUCAGUAGCUGGUCUGAGAGGACGAUCAGCCACACUGGGACUGAGACACGGCCCAGACUCCUACGGGAGGCAGCAGUGGGGAAUUUUCCGCAAUGGGCGAAAGCCUGACGGUGCAAGACCGCGUGAGGGAGGAAGGCUCUUGGGUUGUAAACCUCUUUUCUCAGGGAAGAAGCUCUGACGGUACCUGAGGAAUCAGCCUCGGCUAACUCCGUGCCAGCAGCCGCGGUAAUACGGAGGAGGCAAGCGUUAUCCGGAAUUAUUGGGCGUAAAGCGUCCGCAGGUGGCGAUUCAAGUCUGCUGUCAAAGCACGGGGCUUAACUCCGUUAAGGCAGUGGAAACUGAAUAGCUAGAGUGCCGUAGGGUAGAGGGAAUUCCCGGUGUAGCGGUGAAAUGCGUAGAGAUCGGGAAGAACAUCGGUGGCGAAAGCGCUCUACUGGACGGCAACUGACACUCAGGACGAAAGCUAGGGGAGCGAAUGGGAUUAGAUACCCCAGUAGUCUAGCUGUAAACGA